rnacentral:rRNA from 1 species
AUGGCCCAGGAAUGGCAAAGGCCCGAGGAGGACUGCCUGAAAAUUAACUGCGAUGGCGCAUUUUCAGCGACAUCGUGCACAGGCGGCUGGGGCUUCGUCAUCAGGGACCAUGUCGGAGAUGUACGAGGGUCUGGAGCAGGCUACCUGCACCAUGUGGCCUCUCCGGUGCAGGCUGAAGCGGAAGCAUGUGCUAGAGCACUUGAGGCUGCAUCAAGCUGGGGAAUGACCAAUGUGGAGGUGGAACUGGACUGUCAGGUGCUUGUCAACGCUCUAAGAAGCCCUGAAGCUGAUCUCGCCUGGGAAGGAAUCCUGUUUCGGGAGAUACGGACCUUCGCUCAGCUGAACUUCAACAGAAUUAAUUUCUCUUUUGCCCCGAGGGCGUGUAAUCAUCUCGCUCAUGCUUUAGCUGCCUUUGGUGCUAGGCGUCAAAUAAUCCAGGAGGUUUGGUCGGAGGACCUGCCAAAUGAUGUAAAUGUGCGAUCGGCCAGCAACUUGGCUGGACCUGGUUAA